rnacentral:rRNA from 1 species
GAUGAACGCUGGCGGUAUGCUUAACACAUGCAAGUCGAACGGUGUCUUCGGNCACAGUGGCGGACGGGUGAGUAACGCGUGAGAAUCUGGCUCUAGGUCUGGGACAACCACUGGAAACGGUGGCUAAUACCGGAUGUGCCCUUCGGGGUGAAAGAUUAAUUGCCUGGAGAUGAGCUCGCGUCUGAUUAGCUAGUAGGUGUGGUAAAGGCGCACCUAGGCGACGAUCAGUAGCUGGUCUGAGAGGACGAUCAGCCACACUGGGACUGAGACACGGCCCAGACUCCUACGGGAGGCAGCAGUGGGGAAUUUUCCGCAAUGGGCGAAAGCCUGACGGAGCAAUACCGCGUGAGGGAGGAAGGCUCUUGGGUCGUAAACCUCUUUUCUCAGGGAAGAACACAAUGACGGUACCUGAGGAAUAAGCAUCGGCUAACUCCGUGCCAGCAGCCGCGGUAAUACGGAGGAUGCAAGCGUUAUCCGGAAUGAUUGGGCGUAAAGCGUCCGCAGGUGGCAAUGUAAGUCUGCUGUUAAAGAGUGAGGCUCAACCUCAUAAGAGCAGUGGAAACUACAUAGCUAGAGUACGUUCGGGGCAGAGGGAAUUCCUGGUGUAGCGGUGAAAUGCGUAGAGAUCAGGAAGAACACCGGUGGCGAAGGCGCUCUGCUAGGCCGUAACUGACACUGAGGGACGAAAGCUAGGGGAGCGAAUGGGAUUAGAUACCCCAGUAGUCCUAGCCGUAAACGAUGGAUACUAGGCGUGGCUUGUAUCGACCCGAGCCGUGCCGUAGCUAACGCGUUAAGUAUCCCGCCUGGGGAGUACGCCGGCAACGGUGAAACUCAAAGGAAUUGACGGGGGCCCGCACAAGCGGUGGAGUAUGUGGUUUAAUUCGAUGCAACGCGAAGAACCUUACCAAGGCUUGACAUGUCGCGAAUCUUCUUGAAAGGGAAGAGUGCCUUCGGGAGCGCGAACACAGGUGGUGCAUGGCUGUCGUCAGCUCGUGUCGUGAGAUGUUGGGUUAAGUCCCGCAACGAGCGCAACCCUCGUUUUUAGUUGCCAGCAUUAAGUUGGGCACUCUAGAGAGACUGCCGGUGACAAACCGGAGGAAGGUGGGGAUGACGUCAAGUCAGCAUGCCCCUUACGCCUUGGGCUACACACGUACUACAAUGCUCCGGACAGAGGGCAGCAAGCAUGCGAAUGCAAGCAAAUCCCGUAAACCGGAGCUCAGUUCAGAUCGCAGGCUGCAACUCGCCUGCGUGAAGGAGGAAUCGCUAGUAAUUGCAGGUCAGCAUACUGCAGUGAAUUCGUUCCCGGGCCUUGUACACACCGCCCGUCACACCAUGGAAGCUGGUAGUGCCCGAAGUCAUUACUCCAACCUUUCGGGGGGGAGGAUGCCUAAGGCAGGACUGGUGACUGGGGUGAAGUCGUAACAAGGUAGCCGUACCGGAAGGUGUGGCUGGAUCACCUCCUUU